UACGGAGGGGGCAAGCGUUGUUCGGAAUUACUGGGCGUAAAGGGCGCGCAGGCGGCUGCUCAAGUCAGGCGUGAAAGGCCUGGGCUCAACCCGGGAAUUGCGCUUGAGACUGGGCUGGCUUGAGUGCGGGAGAGGAUGGUGGAAUUCCCAGUGUAGAGGUGAAAUGCGCAGAUAUCGGGAAGAACACCCGUGGCGAAGGCGGCUCUCUGGGACGGUACUGACGCUGAGACGCGAAAGCGUGGGGAGCGAACAGG
rnacentral:rRNA from 1 species